AAUCCGCGCGCUUUCGCAAGGUGCCCCCUCGGGGGUGAAACGGGAAUCAGGUGAGGAGUCGUCUCCAAGGCCUGAGCUGCCCCCGCAACGGUAAGCCGCAAUGAACGCGCCCAUCACGCCACUGUCGAGUCGACGGGAAGGCGGGCGCCGGAGCGGCGAGCCCGGAGACCGGCCUGCGGAUUCGACGAAAC
rnacentral:ncRNA from 2 species